rnacentral:rRNA from 1 species
GGGUUGUGAGGUUAAGCGACUAAGCGUACACGGUGGAUGCCCUGGCAGUCAGAGGCGAUGAAGGACGUGCUAAUCUGCGAAAAGCGUCGGUAAGGUGAUAUGAACCGUUAUAACCGGCGAUGUCCGAAUGGGGAAACCCAGUGUGAUUCGUCACACUAUCGUUAACUGAAUACAUAGGUUAACGAGGCGAACCGGGGGAACUGAAACAUCUAAGUACCCCGAGGAAAAGAAAUCAACCGAGAUUCCCCCAGUAGCGGCGAGCGAACGGGGAGCAGCCCAGAGUCUGAAUCAGCUUGUGUGUUAGUGGAACGGUCUGGAAAGUCCGACGGUACAGGGUGAUAGUCCCGUACACCAAAAUGCACAGGUUGUGAACUCGAAGAGUAGGGCGGGACACGUGGUAUCCUGUCUGAAUAUGGGGGGACCAUCCUCCAAGGCUAAAUACUCCUGACUGACCGAUAGUGAACCAGUACCGUGAGGGAAAGGCGAAAAGAACCCCGGCGAGGGGAGUGAAAAAGAACCUGAAACCGUGUACGUACAAGCAGUGGGAGCACCUUCGGGUGUGACUGCGUACCUUUUGUAUAAUGGGUCAGCGACUUAUAUUCUGUAGCAAGGUUAACCGUAUAGGGGAGCCGCAGGGAAACCGAGUCUUAACUGGGCGUUAAGUUGCAGGGUAUAGACCCGAAACCCGGUGAUCUAGCCAUGGGCAGGUUGAAGGUUGGGUAACACUAACUGGAGGACCGAACCGACUAAUGUUGAAAAAUUAGCGGAUGACUUGUGGCUGGGGGUGAAAGGCCAAUCAAACCGGGAGAUAGCUGGUUCUCCCCGAAAGCUAUUUAGGUAGCGCCUCGUGAACUCAUCUUCGGGGGUAGAGCACUGUUUCGGCUAGGGGGUCAUCCCGACUUACCAACCCGAUGCAAACUACGAAUACCGAAGAAUGUUAUCACGGGAGACACACGGCGGGUGCUAACGUCCGUCGUGAAGAGGGAAACAACCCAGACCGCCAGCUAAGGUCCCAAAGUCAUGGUUAAGUGGGAAACGAUGUGGGAAGGCACAGACAGCCAGGAUGUUGGCUUAGAAGCAGCCAUCAUUUAAAGAAAGCGUAAUAGCUCACUGGUCGAGUCGGCCUGCGCGGAAGAUGUAACGGGGCUAAACCAUGCACCGAAGCUGCGGCAGCGACACUAUGUGUUGUUGGGUAGGGGAGCGUUCUGUAAGCCUGCGAAGGUGACCUGUGAGGGUUGCUGGAGGUAUCAGAAGUGCGAAUGCUGACAUAAGUAACGAUAAAGCGGGUGAAAAGCCCGCUCGCCGGAAGACCAAGGGUUCCUGUCCAACGUUAAUCGGGGCAGGGUGAGUCGACCCCUAAGGCGAGGCCGAAAGGCGUAGUCGAUGGGAAACAGGUUAAUAUUCCUGUACUUGGUGUUACUGCGAAGGGGGGACGGAGAAGGCUAUGUUAGCCGGGCGACGGUUGUCCCGGUUUAAGCAUGUAGGCUGAUUGUCCAGGCAAAUCCGGAUAAUCAAGGCUGAGGUGUGAUGACGAGGCACUACGGUGCUGAAGUAACAAAUGCCCUGCUUCCAGGAAAAGCCUCUAAGCAUCAGGUAACAUCAAAUCGUACCCCAAACCGACACAGGUGGUCAGGUAGAGAAUACCAAGGCGCUUGAGAGAACUCGGGUGAAGGAACUAGGCAAAAUGGUGCCGUAACUUCGGGAGAAGGCACGCUGGUGUGUAGGUGAAGUCCCUGCGGAUGGAGCUGAGACCAGUCGAAGAUACCAGCUGGCUGCAACUGUUUAUUAAAAACACAGCACUGUGCAAACACGAAAGUGGACGUAUACGGUGUGACGCCUGCCCGGUGCCGGAAGGUUAAUUGAUGGGGUUAUCCGUAAGGAGAAGCUCUUGAUCGAAGCCCCGGUAAACGGCGGCCGUAACUAUAACGGUCCUAAGGUAGCGAAAUUCCUUGUCGGGUAAGUUCCGACCUGCACGAAUGGCGUAAUGAUGGCCAGGCUGUCUCCACCCGAGACUCAGUGAAAUUGAACUCGCUGUGAAGAUGCAGUGUACCCGCGGCAAGACGGAAAGACCCCGUGAACCUUUACUAUAGCUUGACACUGAACAUUGAGCCUUGAUGUGUAGGAUAGGUGGGAGGCUUUGAAGCGUGGACGCCAGUCUGCGUGGAGCCAACCUUGAAAUACCACCCUUUAAUGUUUGAUGUUCUAACGUUGGCCCCUUAUCGGGGUUGCGGACAGUGUCUGGUGGGUAGUUUGACUGGGGCGGUCUCCUCCCAAAGCGUAACGGAGGAGCACGAAGGUUAGCUAAUCCUGGUCGGACAUCAGGAGGUUAGUGCAAUGGCAUAAGCUAGCUUGACUGCGAGCGUGACGGCGCGAGCAGGUGCGAAAGCAGGUCAUAGUGAUCCGGUGGUUCUGAAUGGAAGGGCCAUCGCUCAACGGAUAAAAGGUACUCCGGGGAUAACAGGCUGAUACCGCCCAAGAGUUCAUAUCGACGGCGGUGUUUGGCACCUCGAUGUCGGCUCAUCACAUCCUGGGGCUGAAGUAGGUCCCAAGGGUAUGGCUGUUCGCCAUUUAAAGUGGUACGCGAGCUGGGUUUAGAACGUCGUGAGACAGUUCGGUCCCUAUCUGCCGUGGGCGCUGGAGAAUUGAGGGGGGCUGCUCCUAGUACGAGAGGACCGGAGUGGACGCAUCACUGGUGUUCGGGUUGUCAUGCCAAUGGCACUGCCCGGUAGCUAAAUGCGGAAGAGAUAAGUGCUGAAAGCAUCUAAGCACGAAACUUGCCCCGAGAUGAGUUCUCCCUGAGACUUUAAGUCUCCUGAAGGAACGUUGAAGACGACGACGUUGAUAGGCCGGGUGUGUAAGCGCAGCGAUGCGUUGAGCUAACCGGUACUAAUGAACCGUGAGGCUUAACCUUACAACGCCGAAG